UGGCCGAAUGGUCUAAGGCACCAGAUUUAGGCUCUGGUCUGAAAGGGUGUGGGUUCAAAUGCCAC
rnacentral:tRNA from 1 species